rnacentral:rRNA from 2 species
CCCGAAAGAUCGAAUGAGGAGAUUCAUCGUCAGUGUAGUUGGUUUUUAUGUGUUUCGCGAUGGCACGCAUUCAUAUGAUAUAUCCAAUUACGUCGGCGUGCACUUCUCCUCUAGUAGAACGUUGCGACCCGCUGAAUGUCAGUCUAAGGAUCAAGAUGUUGACUGUUUUGUUCGUUUCGGCGAUCUUAGCAGACACUUGGCUUCUGGCUGACUGUUUGGCGGUACACACAAGGUAUUGAGCCGCAUUUGAAUGCGUUCAGACUCGUUACAAGCUUGACCAUCGAAUAACCUGGAGGUGCGGACCUAGUGCCGUCCCUGGGAGUGGUUGGCUGUUGGUUGACGACGUUCUCGAACUGGCUAAAUACCGGUCGGCGACGCUAUAGCUUUGGGUACUUUCAGGACCCGUCUUGAAACACGGACCAAGGAGUCUAACAUGUGCGCAAGUCAUUGGGAUGUUUUAAACCUAAAGGCGCAUUGAAAGAAAAGAUCGACCUUGCGUUGAUUGAGGGAAGAUGGGCAAUGUUUAGGUAUUGCUUCGCACUCCCGGGGUGUCUCUUAAAGUCAUUGCGACUUGGGGCGCACCUAGAGCGUACACGUUGGGACCCGAAAGAUGGUGAACUAUGCCUGGUCAGGAUG